GUACUCACUUCGGCAGCAUGUAUACUAAAAUUGAAAUCAUACAGAGAAAGUCAGCCUGGCCCCUGUGCAGGGAUGACGUGCAAAUUCAUGAAGUGCUCCGUAUUUUU
ensembl:snRNA U6 U6 spliceosomal RNA